UGCGGUUAGAAUAAGGCAUGGGUUAUCCUUAUUCUAAAAGCUUCGGGAAUGGCAGCACUCUUGGGAUCAUCCACGUCUUCAAUCCCAUGCUCUGUUUCUUCUGGGACUGGGGCUGAAAAGAAAGCAGCACAACGUCCGGCGGUGCUCCCGAGAAAUGAGUUUGCACGUCAGAGAUGGGUCCGGUGAGGAGCUGAGUAAAGUCCGGGAGGUGGUACUGGAGGUGGGUCAUGCUCAUGUCCAUCGCUCGUCGGUGCGGAUCGUGUCGCUGAGGGAGUGCUCUUCUACUUCCAUUUGCUCGUCGGUGCCGUCAUUUGGAUUUUAGGUUCUUUAUAGACCUUUCGGCAUUGCGCUUGCUUUGCGGGUCUUGCCAAUCUCGCUGUAGAUUUGAUCAAAAUCCCCAUCAAAGUUAUCAGAUGGUCAAUCUCUCCAAUGUUUUUCUUGUUUUGAAUCCCUUCAUUUGAUGACGAUCUCGAGUGUUUUCUGUUUUUCUUUACAUUUGAUGACGAUCUCGAGUGAAAAAGGAGCUUUGAAUUAACUGAAAAUUCACAGGCCAUGCAUGGAGG